UCGGGGUGUAGCUUAGUUUGGUAGAGCGCCCGCUUUGGGAGCGGGAGGUCGUAGGUUCAAAUCCUAUCACCCCGAU
rnacentral:tRNA from 1 species